rnacentral:rRNA from 1 species
AACGCGAAGAACCUUACCAGGUCUUGACAUCCUCUGACAAUCCUAGAGAUAGGACUUUCCCCUUCGGGGGACAGAGUGACAGGUGGUGCAUGGUUGUCGUCAGCUCGUGUCGUGAGAUGUUGGGUUAAGUCCCGCAACGAGCGCAACCCUUGUCCUUAGUUGCCAGCAUUUAGUUGGGCACUCUAAGGAGACUGCCGGUGACAAACCGGAGGAAGGUGGGGAUGACGUCAAAUCAUCAUGCCCCUUAUGACCUGGGCUACACACGUGCUACAAUGGAUGGUACAAAGGGUUGCGAGACCGCGAGGUUUAGCCAAUCCCAUAAAACCAUUCUCAGUUCGGAUUGUAGGCUGCAACUCGCCUACAUGAAGCCGGAAUCGCUAGUAAUCGUGGAUCAGCAUGCCACGGUGAAUACGUUCCCGGGCCUUGUA